rnacentral:sRNA from 2 species
ACAAAAGGAACACACACUAAGAACGCCACGUACUGUGGCAGCGUCUGUAUGACCCCGAGUCCCUAGG